AGCUCCAAUAGCGUAUAUUAAAGUUGUUGCAGUUAAAAAGCUCGUAGUUGGACUUCUGGCCGUUUGGGACGGUCCACCUCACGGUGAGCACUGUUCUGGGCGGCCAUCCUCUCGGAGUUGUGCGGUGCCAUUAACUUGGUGCUGUAUGAACCCGAGACCUUUACUUUGAAAAAAUUAGAGUGUUCAAAGCAGGCCUACGCUUGAAUACAUUAGCAUGGAAUAAUGGAAUAGGACUUUGGUUCUAUUUUGUUGGUUUCUAGGACCGAAGUAAUGAUUAAUAGGGACAGUUGGGGGCAUUCGUAUUUAAUUGUCAGAGGUGAAAUUCUUGGAUUUAUGAAAGACGAACUACUGCGAAAGCAUUUGCCAAGGAUGUUUUCA
rnacentral:rRNA from 1 species